AUACGGAGGGUGCAAGCGUUACUCGGAAUCACUGGGCGUAAAGCGCGCGCAGGCGGCUAUUUAAGUUGGAUGUGAAAGCCUACGGCUCAACCGUAGAACUGCAUCCAAAACUAUUUAGCUAGAGUGUGGGAGAGGAAGAUGGAAUUAGUUGUGUAGGGGUAAAAUCUGUAGAGAUAACUAGGAAUACCGAAAGCGAAGGCAAUCUUCUGGAACACUACUGACGCUGAGGCGCGAAAGCGUGGGGAGCAAACGGGAUUAGAAACCCUAGUAGUCC
rnacentral:rRNA from 1 species